AGAUGAAACUUAUUCGAAUCCUAGAGCUUGUGAGUUUUACUUUCCAUUUUAGCUUUGACUAAUUGAUUUUGGGGAUUCCAAUUUCCUACCCUGCAAAUGUAUUGUAAGGUUUUGGUUUCCUCUAAUGAAUAUCGAGAAUUUGUUAUAUUCACUGAA